rnacentral:rRNA from 1 species
AAUGGAUGGCGCUUGAGCGGGAGACUUAUACCCGACCGUUGCUUGGCUUGUGUGUUUCUCCUCAUAUGAGAGAUUCGCCUGGCCGCAACGAGUAAGAGGGUCGCAGUGGUUUGCGUUGAAGGCUUUGGGCGUAGGCCCGGCUGGAGCUUCCACUGGUGCAGAUCUUGGUGGUAGUAGCAAAUAUUCAAGUGAGAUCCUUGAAGACUGAAGUGGAGAAGGGUUCCACGUGAACAGCAGUUGAAUGUGGGUCAGUCGGCCCUAAGAUACUGGCUAAUGCCAUGUGUUAUCGAGAGAUGGAGUUCAAAUCUGUCUCGUUUAUCGAAAGGGAAACGGGUUAAUAUUCCCGUACCUGGACACGGAGAUAAGCGCUCAUUGCGAGUGUUUAGCGCGGUAACGCAAACGAACUCGGUAACGUUGAAUAGAGCCCGAGCUAGAGUUCUCUUUUCUAGUUAAGGAACGAAUUCCCUGGAAUCGGUUCAGCCGGAGAUAGGGAUGUUGUUUCCGUAAAGCGCCACGGUUCCUGUGGUGUCUCGUGCGCUCUAUUCGGCCCUUGAAAAACCGAGGGAGGCUAUUUGAAUUUCGUGCCAGGCCGUACCGAUAUCCGCAGCAGGUCUCCAAGGUGAACAGCCUCUAGUCGAUAGAAUAAUGUAGGUAAGGGAAGUCGGCAAAUUAGAUCCGUAACUUCGGGAAAAGGAUUGGCUCUAAGGACUGGGCCGGUCGGGCUGCAGUGUGAAGUGAGCUCGGUUUGAUCCAUGCAGUGCAACGCUCGGAAACGGGUGGCGCUCGGCUAGCGUUCGAACUGUCUUGUGGACCGCUGCAGCUGUGUGCCGCGUCAAUAAUGGCGUUGGUGCUUCGGCGGGCGCUAAACAGUCGACUUAGAACUGGCACGGACUCGGGGAAUCCGACUGUCUAAUUAAAACAGAGGAGACAGAUGGCCCUUGCGAGCGUUGACUGUCUCUGAUUUCUGCCCAGUGCUCUGAAUGUAAAAGUGAAGAAAUUCAACCAAGCGCGGGUAAACGGCGGGAGUAACUAUGACUCUCUUAAGGUAGCCAAAUGCCUCGUCAUCUAAUUAAUGACGCGCAUGAAUGGAUUAACGAGAUUCCCACUGUCCCUAUCUACUAUCUAGCGAAACCACAGCCAAGGGAACGGGCUUGGCGAACACAGCGGGGAAAGAAGACCCUGUUGAGCUUGACUCUAGUCCGACUCUGUGAAGAGUCAUGAGAGGUGUAGCAUAAGUGGGAGGCUUUGGCCAACAGUGAAAUACCACUACUUUCAUCGAUUCUUUACUUAUUCGGUAAGACGAGAAUUGAGCCUAUCCGGCUCUUCAUUCUGGUGUUAAGUGCAGCCACUCGGUGGCCGUUCGACUCGCGCCGAAGACAGUGUCAGGCGGGGAGUUUGACUGGGGCGGUACAUCUGUCAAAUCGUAACGCAGGUGUCCUAAGGCUAGCUCAGAGAGGACGGAAACCUCUCGUAGAGCAAAAGGGCAAAAGCUCGCUUGAUCUUGAUUUCCAGUACGAAUACAGACCGCGAAAGCGUGGCCUAUCGAUCCUUUUGAAUUAGAAGGUCUCUAGCAAGAGGUGUCAGAAAAGUUACCACAGGGAUAACUGGCUUGUGGCAGCC